GAGUGGCGGACGGGUGAGUAACACGUGGGUAACCUGCCCAGAAGCAGGGGAUAACACCUGGAAACAGAUGCUAAUACCGUAUAACAGAGAAAACCGCCUGGUUUUCUUUUAAAAGAUGGCUCUGCUAUCACUUCUGGAUGGACCCGCGGCGCAUUAGCUAGUUGGUGAGGUAACGGCUCACCAAGGCGAUGAUGCGUAGCCGACCUGAGAGGGUAAUCGGCCACAUUGGGACUGAGACACGGCCCAGACUCCUACGGGAGGCAGCAGUAGGGAAUCUUCCACAAUGGACGCAAGUCUGAUGGAGCAACGCCGCGUGAGUGAAGAAGGGUUUCGGCUCGUAAAGCUCUGUUGUUAAAGAAGAACGUGGGUGAGAGUAACUGUUCACCCAGUGACGGUAUUUAACCAGAAAGCCACGGCUAACUACGUGCCAGCAGCCGCGGUAAUACGUAGGUGGCAAGCGUUAUCCGGGAUUUAUUGGGCGUAAAGCGAGCGCAGGCGGUCUUUUAAGUCUAAUGUGAAAGCCUUCGGCUCAACCGAAGAAGUGCAUUGGAAACUGGGAGACUUGAGUGCAGAAGAGGACAGUGGAACUCCAUGUGUAGCGGUGAAAUGCGUAGAUAUAUGGAAGAACACCAGUGGCGAAGGCGGCUGUCUGGUCUGUAACUGACGCUGAGGCUCGAAAGCAUGGGUAGCGAACAGGAUUAGAUACCCUGGUAGUCCAUGCCGUAAACGAUGAUUACUAAGUGUUGGAGGGUUUCCGCCCUUCAGUGCUGCAGCUAACGCAUUAAGUAAUCCGCCUGGGGAGUACGACCGCAAGGGUUGAAACUCAAAAGAAUUGACGGGGGCCCGCACAAGCGGUGGAGCAUGUGGUUUAAUUCGAAGCUACGCGAAGAACCUUACCAGGUCUUGACAUCUUCUGCCAACCUAAGAGAUUAGGCGUUCCCUUCGGGGACAGAAUGACAGGUGGUGCAUGGUUGUCGUCAGCUCGUGUCGUGAGAUGUUGGGUUAAGUCCCGCAACGAGCGCAACCCUUAUUACUAGUUGCCAGCAUUCAGUUGGGCACUCUAGUGAGACUGCCGGUGACAAACCGGAGGAAGGUGGGGACGACGUCAAAUCAUCAUGCCCCUUAUGACCUGGGCUACACACGUGCUACAAUGGAUGGUACAACGAGUCGCGAAACCGCGAGGUUUAGCUAAUCUCUUAAAACCAUUCUCAGUUCGGACUGUAGGCUGCAACUCGCCUACACGAAGUCGGAAUCGCUAGUAAUCGCGGAUCAGCAUGCCGCGGUGAAUACGUUCCCGGGCCUUGUACACACCGCCCGUCACACCAUGAGAGUUUGUAACACCCAAAGCCGGUGGGGUAACCUUUUAGGAGCUAGCCGUCUAAAGUGU
rnacentral:rRNA from 1 species